GCCGAUUUAGCUCAGUUGGUAGAGCAACUGAUUUGUAAUCAGUAGGUGGUGGGUUCGAGUCCCUCAGUCGGCACCA
rnacentral:tRNA from 1 species